AGCAUCUUUCGACCAGCGAUCAGUAAGUCCACCAGAUUGGGAUUAAUCUUCAAAAGUUGCAACUUAAAUAUUCCCAGUAAUGUCCACCUACAAGGAGCCUCUGAAUGGGUGGGUGGA
rnacentral:pre_miRNA from 1 species